AAUAGAUGACGCCGUUGACUUUUUCUCACGUGUUUGAUCAUUCGUCUUAUUCAAAAAGUUUAUGUAAUUAUAACUUAUUUUGUUAUGAGUUGUUUUAUCACUUAUAGUAUUUUAAGUGUGAUUUAUAUCUUAUACAUUUGUAUAAAAUUUUUAAAUAAAACGAAUAGUCAAACAUGUAAGAAAAAAUUAACGG
rnacentral:pre_miRNA from 1 species